rnacentral:rRNA from 1 species
UAGGGAAUAUUGCUCAAUGGGGGAAACCCUGAAGCAGCAACGCCGCGUGGAGGAUGAAGGUUUUCGGAUUGUAAACUCCUUUUCUAAGAGAAGAUUAUGACGGUAUCUUAGGAAUAAGCACCGGCUAACUCCGUGCCAGCAGCCGCGGUAAUACGGAGGGUGCAAGCGUUACUCGGAAUCACUGGGCGUAAAGAGCGCGUAGGCGGGAUAGCAAGUCAGAUGUGAAAUCCUAUGGCUUAACCAUAGAACUGCAUUUGAAACUGUUAUUCUAGAGUAUGGGAGAGGUAGGUGGAAUUCUUGGUGUAGGGGUAAAAUCCGUAGAGAUCAAGAGGAAUACUCAUUGCGAAGGCGACCUGCUGGAACAUAACUGACGCUGAUGCGCGAAAGCGUGGGGAGCAAACAGGAUUAGAUACCC